rnacentral:rRNA from 1 species
AUGGAUCCUAGUCAAGUUAGAAAGCUGAUCAUAGCAGACCAGAUACGAUCGCCGCUGUCUCGCACAUCGGUACCACCUUCAGCAACGGAUCGAGCACCGGUAGUUGCUCUAGCACUAACAGCGGCAGCAGCUCAGUCUGAUCCAGCAGAGGAUUGGGCACCGACCGCGUCAGCGGAUCAGGCUGAUCUACCAGAGGAUCGGGCAUCGACACCGGCACCUGCUCCGACACCGGCACUAGCUCUACAAGGAGCACCAUCUCCGGCAGCAGCACUGGCUUCGGCACCUGCACCAACACUUGCCCUUGCAUUUGCUUCGGACCGUGCAGCGGCAACCGAACGAGCAGUUGCACCGGCAAUAGACUGGGCUGCAGUUCACACUUCAUAUACCAAAGUCCUUACAAAAACCGACAUGUCCACCUUGUUGGUAAGCAUUGGCCGCCUAAGUGCUUCGUUCUUUUUUCUUUCCAUGUUGUUUCACAUGAUUCACUGUGUUGAUCUAACUGUUUGGGUAUGUCUUCUUGUUUGCAAACGGAGAACUCCUAGAGCAACGAGGGAGUCGUUCAACAAUCCGGGCGACCGCGACCAAGUUUCUCUUACCAUGCGCAGCCUUGGUGUGAAUGAACCUGCUCAAUAUACCAUAAGUACAAAGGAUGGUCACAUGAUGAUUGAUGCUAAAGGAUGGUCAAGGUUCAAAUCUAAAUCAUAUCUUGCAGUAGGGGAUGAUGUCAAAAUCGAACUUUCUCGGCAAGGAGAGCUGGUCCAAAUCAACUUUGAAAUUCUUCAGUAG